UACGGGGGGGGCAAGCGUUGUUCGGAAUUACUGGGCGUAAAGGGCUCGUAGGCGGCCAACUAAGUCGGAUGUGAAAUCCCCAGGCUUAACCUGGGAACUGCAUCCGAUACUGGAUGGCUUGAAUCCGGGAGAGGGAUGCAGAAUUCCAGGUGUAGCGGUGAAAUGCGCAGAUAUCGGGAGGAACACCAGUGGCGAAGGCGACUCUUUGGCCUGUAACUGACACUGAGGCGCGAAAGCGUGGGGAGCAAACAGG
rnacentral:rRNA from 1 species